rnacentral:rRNA from 1 species
CCCCGGGGAUAACAGGCUUAUCUCCCCCAAGAGUCCACAUCGACGGGGAGGUUUGGCACCUCGAUGUCGGCUCAUCGCAUCCUGGGGCUGUAGUCGGUCCCAAGGGUUGGGCUGUUCGCCCAUUAAAGCGGUACGCGAGCUGGGUUCAGAACGUCGUGAGACAGUUCGGUCCCUAUCCGUCGUGGGCGCAGGAAAUUUGAGAGGAGCUGUCCUUAGUACGAGAGGACCGGGAUGGACGCACCGCUGGUGUACCAGUUGUUCUGCCAAGGGCAUAGCUGGGUAGCUAUGUGCGGAAGGGAUAAGUGCUGAAAGCAUCUAAGCAUGAAGCCCCCCUCAAGAUGAGAUUUCCCAUAGCGUAAGCUAGUAAGAUCCCUGAAAGAUGAUCAGGUUGAUAGGUUCGAGGUGGAAGCAUGGUGACAUGUGGAGCUGACGAAUACUAAUAGAUCGAGGACUUAACCAUAUAA